rnacentral:rRNA from 1 species
CCUACGGGCGGCAGCAGUGAGGAAUUUUGGUCAAUGGGCGCUAGCCUGAACCAGCUAAGUAGCGUGAAGGAUGACUGCCCUAUGGGUUGUAAACUUCUUUUAUAUGGGAAUAAAGUGCAGUAUGUAUACUGCUUUGCAUGUACCUUAUGAAUAAGGUUCGGCUAACUCCGUGCCAGCAGCCGCGGUAAUACGGAGGAUCCGAGCGUUAUCCGGAUUUAUUGGGUUUAAAGGGAGCGUAGGCGGGUUGUUAAGUCAGUUGUGAAAGUUUGCGGCUCAACCGUAAAAUUGCAGUUGAUACUGGCAUCCUUGAGUACAGUAGAGGUAGGCGGAAUUCGUGGUGUAGCGGUGAAAUGCUUAGAUAUGACGAAGAACUCCGAUUGCGAAGGCAGCCUGCUGGACUGUAACUGACGCUGAUGCUCGAAAGUGUGGGUAGCAAACAGGAUUAGAUACCCUUGUAGUC